AAUCAUUAGUCUCUUAAUUGGUGACUUGUAUGAAAGAUUGGAUGAAAUAUAAACUGUCUUAAAAAUAUUUUAUUGAAUUUAAUUUUUUAAUUAAAAAGUUAAAAUAUAUUAAAAAGACGAGAAGACCCUAUAGAGUUUUAUAUUAUUAUUAUUUUAAAUUAUUUAUAAAUAUUAAUUAUUUGUAAAUUAUAAUAAUAUUUUAUUGGGGUGAUGAAAAAAUAAAUUUAACUUUUUUUAAAAAAAUUCAUAGAUAAGUGAUUAAAUGAUCCAAUUUUAUUGAUUAUAAGAAAAAAUUACCUUAGGGAUAACAGCGUAAUUUUUUUUUUUAGUUCUUAUAAGAAAAAGAGUUUGCGACCUCGAU
rnacentral:rRNA from 1 species